AGGCCUUUCCAUCUUCCUAGAGUGCCUAACCUGGCCUGUGUGCUUGCAAGCUUCUGCUCAUUCUUCAAUACCCAGCAGAGACUUCCUCCUCCAUGCAGCCUUCCAAGACCCACCUGAGUACAGAUCAGAUACCAUCAGCAUAAUGUCAUCGAUGCAGUGGACCAGUGUGACAUGGGGAACAUAAAGAUGGUCACGAUUUUUGCAGACUCCAUAUGCAAAGUAUUAUAGGCCUUUCCAUCUAUCCGGAGUGACCUACCAGAGACAGGACAGUGUGACCAGCAAGCUUCUGAUCACUCUUCAACACCCAGCAAGCAGUCUUAUCCUCCAUGCAGCCUUCUAAGACCUCUCUAAGCACAGGUAUCAGAUCCUCCUCUGGAUCACUCUGUCUUGUUACUGCAUUUAUCUCACUGGAUUUCAGUGAAGUGUGUAGACAACUAAUUUGUGCCUGCCUGAUCUGUGAGCUCUUCAUUCAAAGCAGUUGGCUCCUGAGUACAGGAUAAACCCCUAGAAUUGAAUAAAUUUGGUCUUACCUCA
rnacentral:sRNA from 1 species